GAUGAAGAACGUAGUGAAAUGCGAUAAGUAGUGUGAAUUGCAGAAUUCAGUGAAUCAUCGAAUCUUUGAACGCACAUUGCGCCCUUUGGUAUUCCAAAGGGCAUGCCUGUUCGAGCGUCAUUUGUACCCUCAAGCUUUGCUUGGUGUUGGGCGUCUUGUCUCUAGCUUUGCUGGAGACUCGCCUUAAAGUAAUUGGCAGCCGGCCUACUGGUUUCGGAGCGCAGCACAAGUCGCACUCUCUAUCAGCAAAGGUCUAGCAUCCAUUAAGCCUUUUUUUCAACUUUUGACCUCGGAUCAGGUAGGGAUACCCGCUGAACUUAAGCAUAUCAAUAAGCGGAGGA
rnacentral:misc_RNA from 1 species